UACGUAGGGGGCGAGCGUUGUCCGGAUUUAUUGGGCGUAAAGAGCUCGUAGGCGGUUACGGAAGUCGGGUGUGAAAGACCGGGGCUCAACCCCGGGACGUCAUUCGAUACUCCGUUGACUAGAGUCCGGUAGGGGAAGGUGGAAUGCCUGGUGUAGCGGUGAAAUGCACAGAUAUCAGGCGGAACACCGGUGGCGAAGGCGGCCUUCUGGGCCGGUACUGACGCUGAGGAGCGAAAGCUAGGGGA
rnacentral:rRNA from 1 species